GCUUUAGACCUGGAAGUGGACUCUUAAAGAGUCUUGUCAAAGUCCUCUAUUAAAACCUGACUCAAGCAGAAGCAGAACAACAACAAGAAGUAGCUCCAGAUACCUGUCCAAGAUCAGCUCUGGGAGCUCCUGGACACACAUGGAAGUAAUGCAUGACUGAACAUUUUAUGUGUAUUUUCACAGUGAUUGACUUGAACAUUGCUAGCUUUAAUUAUACUAUUACAAACACUUAUAUGGAGUACAGGAGCUACUACUCUAGCUUCUAAGGGCAUCAUAAGGCUGGUCCUGCAGUUCAUGUUGGUCUGUGACAGAAGUAGACUACAGCCUAAAAGGCUUAAUCGAGUUAUUUUCAGAUUGCUUAUUUAUGAGUCAGCGGAGGAGCUGAAUCUGAGUGAGGUUGGUUCAGAGAAGGCAUUUCCUGUGCCAUGGAACAGAGAGUCUUCUGAGAUUCGUCUAGCAGUCAUCCCUAAUUUAUGGUGGUUAAGCCUAAUCUUCUAUCAUAACCUCCGCCAUCCUGCUUCACCAGACUCUUAAGCAUAUCUGUUCACUGGAACAUUCAAGGCUAUAGUUUCUUGACUUCAGCACGAUAAUAAUGCGCAUAUGGGCCCAUAUGGAUGACUAUAGCCUUUCCUGUUAAUCUAUCCUUUGAGGCUAAGCCUGGAAGCUUGAAAACAGGAGUAGAGUGAAUUUAUUAACAGCCUAAUGUCAGUAGAUCUGGCUUCUAUUCAAAAGCAGCUUGAGUCCAUCCAUCUGGAUCUAGUUUCUGGUUGCUCGGCGGAAACUAAAAAGAGAUAUGUUUGGGUUCAUUACUUUCAGCAUCAAAGGUGCCUCUUACAUCCAUUUCCAAUGUGAAUCUACAGGAGCUGGAGGUAGCCAAGGCAAAUUGAUGUGUUGAUUUUGGUAGAUCCAGAACACUGCUCACAUUGUAAUAUCCUACACACAGUGUGGCCUUAUCUUUCUCUCUUCAAUUUGUCAGCCAGAGUACAUCAGGUCUGUGUAACGGCUUAGUUUUAGAAGUCAGAUCUUACUGUGUUUGCUAAACUGAAUGUAUAAUAAUUAAAUAUUCUUUUCCAUGUCCUGCGAUUUAUAUGUUGUUUUUUACUAUGCGCUCUUUUUUCUGCUUUUUAUCCUCCAUUGCUGUAUAUGGAGUCUGUUUCAAUACUUCUUUAACAUGUCUUUGCCAACUUUGAC
ensembl:lncRNA